ACAAUUAAAACAAUUAAACCUAAAUGAACGGACGGACUUCAUUAACCCUAAUCCACUUGUACUAAUUUUGAAUAAAAAAAAAAGGGAAACUUGGAAGCGAAGAAUCGGGCGUUCGGUGGCGCGAUAAGAAAGAAUCGCGCGGCAUGGAAGGUGUCUCGCGCGACUCCACUCUUUCAUAUUUAUUACUUAAAGCUCUCCAUGAAGAUAGAUCAGUCACGGUUUAUUGGAUGAAAUGAUUCCCUACUACCAGCCGCAAUACCCAACAGCAGCAGAAGAGCUGACAGUGCCUCAACAUAUGUUGGCCCAACCAGCUAUGGCACAAUAUGGAAUAAAUUUUGCUGUUACUCCACAAGAUAGAAGGGAAAAGAAAAGAAAAAUUGAUGCUGAGUAUCGACAACGAUGUAAGGUAAAGAAAGAAGAUAGAGAGAUUGAAUUGCAACAUCUUCGGGAAGAAAAUGCCCAGUUGAAGAGGGAGAAUGAAUCCUGUCGGGAAGAAAAUGAUUCGAUGGCUCAUAAAUUGCGGUCAAAAGAAGUUGAGAUAGGGAACCUUAAAAGCGAAAUCUGCAAUUCAAAGAAAGUUAUUUCUAAUCAAGAAAUUCUAUUGGACACACUAUCACAACAGCCGUUUUUGCAACAAAUAAUGCGCGGAUGUAACCAACUUGAGGUGGCGCUGCUAGAAAAUGAACGCAAUAUAUUGUAUCAAAAUGCCAAUUGGGAUGGUUGGGAAUCUGAAAGAAAACAACUUUUGGAUGAGAUUGAGAAGCUGAAACAUCGGAAUGUGAUGCUCAAAAUGCAAAAUCAAGUUUUAGGCGACAAAAUACUGAGCCAAAAAGACACGGAAGCAAGUAUGAGAAGCCAUGCAAUAGCAUCGCUGGUAGAAGAUUCUGCAACAACCCUAAGUGUCUGCCUGUGACAGAAAUCUCUGUUACCCUGUUAGUGGCCAUCAUCACUCCCAUGCAUGAGACCAUAACACCUAUCAUUUCAACAUGAAGCACGCCACCUACCCCUGCAAUCUGUCAUGGUUUCUGCAAAGCUGAGCCGUCAACAAUCUACUUUGUCCACCUAUGAUCAGGAGUUAACCAGGAUAUCGUGAGGCAAUAUUUUCUCAAAGGGCGUAAAGCUUCUGAUAUGAUGGGUAGGGGUUAGAACCACUUGUUAAUUAAUUAUUUUCUAGGUGUACGGUUUUAGUGAACAGAAGCAGUGUAGACAUGUUAUGCAGAAAUAUUGAUUGAAUGUUCUUGUUGUAUCUUGA